CUGUUUCAAUUGCUCAUCACAUCCCACCCCAACCCAUCAUGAUUGGACCACACUGUCUGUCCGACAGAAUCAUCUCCGGCCAACCCGAAAAUUCCGGCAGUAUCUCCAUCCGCUCUGAAAGCAGCAACACCAGUGCUCGUUCCUUCGCCUUCCCCAUGUACGUACCUUCGAAUUCACUCUUCAAUCUCAUUGAUUAAAAGAAGAAGAAAUUAAAAAAUAUAUCCACCUGUUAAUUUGCAGAUUGCAGUCGGAAGGACAUUUGAGUCCAGUGAAGAUGGCGAGAGCAGAACGACGACGGCGUUACUGGAAAAUCCGAUAUCGUCUCUGCUGCAAAUUCUAAAAUCAACCCAAACAAGUUAUUUUUUUUCUAUCAGUUUGUGUGAUCAAUUUGAUGUGCCUGUAUAGAUAAGUCUGUUUGGUUUCUUCGUUUGUCAAUUUAUUGUUUCUCAAUCUAGGUUUGAAAAAAUAUUUAAUUAUACAUAUACCCUUAUUUUUAUGGGUAAAUUUUACUAACACCCUUCUCUAAUAUCCUAAACAUUUCCAUUUUCGAUACUUUGUUUCGCGAAAUCUCCAAAUCACUGGUUCGAAACUCGAACACCAAUUAUGUACAUUUUCGACACCUGUUUCGCAGAAAUUCCAAAU
rnacentral:lncRNA from 1 species